rnacentral:misc_RNA from 1 species
AAGAGUUGCAAAACUCCCAAACACCAUUGUGAACCUCACCUAUACCGUUUCCUCGGCGGGCGGCGGCUAACUGCCCCGACCAGCCCGCUCCCUUAUUGGGGAGUAAGGGCUGGGCCCGCCGGAGGCGCACCAACUCUUGGUUUUAAUUGGCCUCUCUGAGUCAUACUUUUUAUAAAAUAAAGUCA